GUGAUGCAAAAGGCUCGAGUGGUGGAAACCGGAAGGCAGGGGCUUUCGGUCCUUUCAAGUGUGCUACGGAGCGCCUGGGGAUCCUUGGGUCAAGCUGAAGCUGGGGGCGCAGUCCCCACCCAUCCUCCAGGAUGAGGUGGGCACGCGCGGCCGUGGAGAGGCUGUGCCAGCGCGCGCGCAGGGUGGACUUUCUGCGCGAGACCUGCCGGCAAUACCCUUUGUUUUGCUGUAUCUUUUUGGGGUUCAGUGUGGCAACGCUCCUGCUCAGCCGGUAUCGUCACAUCUUAAUGAUCUUCUGGUCUUUUGUGGCGGGAUUUGUAACAUUCUAUUGUUACUUAGGACCAGAUACCCUCUUACCAAAUAUUCUGUUUACAAUAAAACAAAAAUCCAAGCAAUUAAAAUUGCAAGAACAAUCUUCCCAGAAUGGCAGUUGUGCUAUAUGUGGAGAUAUCAAAUGUAGUAGACAUGGACCUGCAUCGCUACUAGAAGAUUAUCAGCCUUGGCUGGGCCUAAAAGUUCCUUCUAAAGUUGAUACUUCUUUAUCAGAGAUGUUUGAGCUAGUACUAGAAAACUUUAUUUAUCCUUGGUACAGACAGAUAACUGAUGAUGAAUCAUCCGUGGAUGAACUAAGAGUAACAUUACGAUUUUUUGCAUCUGUGUUACUUCGCAGAAUUUACAAGGUGAAUAUUCCAACUGUUACAACAACAAAAAUGCUGAAAGCAGCAAUGAAACACAUAGAAGUAAUAGCUAAAGCUAGACAGAAAGUAAAAAAUACAGAAUAUUUACAGCAAGCAGCUUUAGAAGAAUAUGGACCAUCACUCCAUGUGGCUUUGAGAAGUAGAAGAGAUGAACUCAAUUAUUUAAGAAAACUUACUGAACUUCUUUUUUCCUAUAUUCUGCUUCCAAAGGCAACAGAUUGCGGGACAUUCACCUUACUCAUAAGAGAAAUCCUAUCGGGUUCUGUUUUCCUUCCCUCUAUGGACUACUUAGCUGAUCCGGAUACUGUGAACCACUUAAUACUUAUCUUCAUUGAUGAUAGACCACCUGAAAUAGCAACUGAACCUGCUUCACCUUUGGUUCCUUUCUUGCAGAAAUUUGCAGAACCUAGAAGCAAAAAAUCUUCUGCCUUGCACUUUGAACUGAAAGAAUUUGAAGACAAGCAGGAUCUUUUCUUUCUAUUUAUGAGUUUUUUGAAGAAAGAAGGAAAAGUACACGUAUUGCAAUUUUACCUGGAGUUAGAGCAAUUUAAUAAUAGAAUUUUGCAGGCAGAAUUAUCAGAUUCUGAGAAAAUGUCCCUCCAUGAAGAAGUCAAGAAAAUCUAUGAAACAUAUUGCUUAGAUGAAAGCAUUGACAAAAUUAAAUUUGAUUCAUUCAUUGUGGAAGAGAUACAAAGUAUUGCUGAAGGCCCCUAUAAGGAAGUUGUGAAGCUACAACAAAUGCGGUGUUUCUUUGAAGCCUAUGAACAAGUUUUCUCGCUCUUAGAGAAUGUCUUCAUACCUAAAUUCUGCCACACAUAUGAGUAUUUCAAGUACCUCUUUCAAGAAGUUGAAUCCCCAACACGCAAUUCCAAGUCAAACAAAAGCAUGCUUAGAAGAGAAUCGUCUGGAAUCAGAAGUAUAAGCAGCAAAAUUAAAGGAGUAUUCAAAAGCACUACAAUGGAAGGGGCUGUGCUACCUGACUAUCUCCUCGCUGAAGGAGAGGAUGAUUUUAUUGAAGAAGGCAUUAUGGUAAUGGAAGACGAUUCACCUGUGGAGGCACUUAGUAUGCCUAAUACACCUCGCAAUCUUGCUGCUUGGAAAAUUACCAUUCCUUAUGUUGACUUCUUUGAAGACCCCUCCCUUGAAAAGAAAGAAAGGAGAGAGAGAAUUCCUGUAUUUUGCAUUGAUGUGGAAAGAAAUGACAGGCUGGCAAUUGGGCAUAAACCUGAACACUGGUCAGUCUAUAGAAGAUACUUUGAAUUUUAUGUGCUGGAAUCAAAGCUAACAGAAUUUCAUGGUACAUUCCCUGAUGCUCAGCUUCCCUCGAAGAGGAUUAUUGGACCAAAGAAUUAUGAAUUCCUAAAAUCAAAGAGAGAAGAAUUUCAAGAAUACCUUCAGAAACUUUCACAACAUCCAGAACUAAGCAACAGCCAACUUUUGGCUGACUUCUUAUCCCGUAAUGGUGGAGAGACACAGUUUCUUGAUAAAAUAUUGCCUGAUGUAAAUUUAGGUAAAAUUAUAAAAUCUGUUCCCGGAAAAUUAAUGAAAGAGAAAGGUCAGCACUUGGAACCAUUCAUUAUCAAUUUUAUUACCUCCUGUGAGUCUCCCAAGCCUAAACCAAGUAAACCAGAAAUUACUAUUCUCAGUCCUACUUCCGAAAACAACAAAAAGCUUUAUAAUGAACUCUAUAAGAACAAUGCAAACCGUUCUGAGAAUUUAGAAAGAAGACAGAAUGAGAACUAUUUCUUGAAGAUGAUGACAAUUGAAGGAGUUUAUGACUUCCUAAUGUAUAUUGCUAGAGUUGUUUUCCAUAUCCCUGACUGGCUUCAUCACAUCUUGAUGGGUGGAAGGAUUCUCUUCAAAAAUACCUUAGAAAAAUAUAUAGACAACUACUUGCAGUGCAAACUAGAACAACUCUUUCAGGAACACCGUCUGGUCUCACUGAUAACACUUCUCAGAGAUGCUGUAUUUUGUGAGAAUUCUCAACCUCGCUCUCUCCAAGAUAAGCACAAACGGGCAAAGCAGACCUUUGAAGAAAUGAUGAAAUACAUUCCAGGUUCAGUGUUUAUGUGGCAUGAUUUAUCAAGAAGAGAGGCAGUCUAAAUGACCAAAGUCCAUCAGCUCCAUGCAGAGUGCAUUAUAAUAAUCCAGUCUUGAAGUAACCAAGGCAUGAGUGACUGAAAGGCCUCCCAAUCAAAGGAGAAGGUACAAUUGGUUAUUGCAGGUAAUCAGAAGAUUAUCUAUGGUAAGAAAUAUACUGGCUGCCCAUGGUAUAUUUAAAGUGUACUGCUAAAAUGUUUUACAGAAAUCAGGUGUUCAGUCAAUUGCCAGCAACAGUUACGCUUUUCUAGAAUAGAUGUUUCGGCUGACAAAGCUUUUGGGGUCUGGUUUUAAGAUUGAAUUCCUUUUAUUUGAAUUGACUUACUCAUGUUUUGAUGUUUUUUGCAGAUCUGAUAGGUAAAUGUAUUGGGGAAGAUGCAAAAUAUGAAGGCAUAAGACUUCUAUUUGAUGGAUUGCAGCAGCCAGUUCUUAACAAACAGUUAACAUAUGUCCUACUGGAUAUUGGGAUUCAAGAACUAUUUCCAGAGUUGAAUG